rnacentral:rRNA from 1 species
GCACUUUGAAGAGAGAGUUAAAGAGGACGUGAAACCGGUGAGGUAGAAACGGAUAGAGCUAGCGUAUCGGGCCGGCAUUCACUUGCGAGGUCGGCGCGCGCUCUGGCUUCGCUCUCCAGAUUGGGACGGAGUUGGAGUUGUACCCGGCCGAGCAGUGCAUUUGUUGGUGUGUGCGCUGAGCAGCCCGAGGCGGCGGCAUGCACUUGUUUUUGCGGCCAACUUGUUUGGAACCCAGAGCAGGCUAGUGCUGUUCGCCUUGGGCAUUGUUUGGCAUGGCCUACGGGCUUUGGUGGUUCCCGAGUGAGCAGUGGGAAGCGGUCGCAUGCGACACGUGCCUGUUGUUUGCUUGGUGCUGCCAAUGGUCCUCAUGCCCACGCUCAGUGUAAGAGCUGGUCAUCUAUCCGACCCGUCUUGAAACACGGACCAAGGAGUUUAUCGUGUGCGCAAGCCAUUGGGCGUUGAAAACCCAAAGGCGCAAUGAAAGUGAAUGUGUCCGCAAGGAACUGACAUGCUAUCCCCGGUGCUUCGGCUCCGGGGCGCAGCGUGGCCCCAUCCUGAUUGCUUGCAAUGGGGUGGAGGAAGAGCGUAUGCGACGAGACCCGAAAGAUGGUGAACUAUUCCUGAGCAGGAUGAAGCCAGAGGAAACUCUGGUGGAAGUCCGAAGCGAUUCUGACGUGCAAAUCGAUCGUCUGANUU